rnacentral:tRNA from 1 species
UCCCUCGUGGCUCAGACGGUAAAGCGUCUGCCUGCAAUGCGGGAAACCCGGGUUCGAUUCCUGGGUUGGGAA